rnacentral:rRNA from 1 species
AGCAGCCGCGGUAAUUCCAACUCCAAUAGCGUAUAUUAAAGUUGCUGCAGUUAAAAGCUCGUAGUUGAAUUUCGGGAUCAAUAUGUUGGUCGUGCCUCGGUACGUACUAGCUUAUUGGUUUCUCCCUUCUGACGAACCAUGAUGUUAUUUAUUUGGUGUUAUGGGAAAUCAGGACUGUUACUUUGAAAAAUUAGAGUGUUUAAAGCAGGCUCACGCUUGAAUACAUUAGCAUGGAAUAAUGAAAUAGGACGUUUGAUUCUAUUUUGUUGGUUUCUAGGAUCGACGUAAUGAUUAAUAGGGAUAGUUGGGGGCAUUAGUAUUCAAUUGUCAGAGGUGAAAUUCUUGGAUUUAUUGAAGACUAACUACUGCGAAAGCAUUUGCCAAGGAUGUUUUCAUUAAUCAAGAACAAAGUUAGGGAAUCGAAGACGAUCAGAUACCGUCGUAGUCUUAACCAUAAACUAUGCCGACU